UACAGAGGUCUCAAGCGUUGUUCGGAUUCAUUGGGCGUAAAGGGUGCGUAGGCGGCGCGGUAAGUCGGGUGUGAAAUCUCGGAGCUUAACUCCGAAACUGCAUUCGAUACUGCCGUGCUUGAGGACUGGAGAGGAGACUGGAAUUUACGGUGUAGCGGUGAAAUACGUAGAUAUCGGGAGGAACACCAGUGGCGAAGGCGGCGACCUGGGCCAAUACUGACGCUGAGGUGCGAAAGCGUGGGGAGCAAACAGG
rnacentral:rRNA from 1 species